AGAUGAAUCCAUUCCACAAGCAAGCAAGCAUUUCAGGACGGAGCGUGUGUCUGGAAGCCCUGUCCGUCAGCAGAUGUUACUGCCUCCACCACCUGCAUCAACUUUUCCUGACAACGCUCGGAGGUCUGACCACAGGUACUGCAGUCUGACGCAUGCUACGGCGAGUGGCAACCAAUGACGUGCUGAAAGAGUAUAGCCUGCGGGGAAGAAAGGCAAAGAAGGCCUUCCAGGAACUGACAAUCUGCAGGGUUAUAACAGGCAGGUGUUAUUUUAUUGUUCACAUCAGUAUUAUGCUUAGCUUGGCUGAUAAGAGGUUUUAAUUUGACUUGUAUCUUUGCUUCAUUUUGACUUCUACUCUAGCGGCCUCCCAGAAGAACUUCCCCGCGCUGACUGCAGCAGAUGUGGAGGACUUGAUCGGGCAAGCGCUGAAGUUUGCCCUACACAGAUGGCCAGCUGAGAAGGACUAUAAGCCAAACCAUGGAGCUCUAUUUUUUUUUUUUUUUUUUUGUAUUUUUUCCAUCCAUCUUGCAGCUUGUAUUUUUUUAUUAAAGCAAUUGUAUUUGUUAAUAUGCUAAUAUAUAAUAAUUCAUUACAUUAUCAUUCCAAUAUGCAUCUUUGCACACUAUAUUUGCACUCUACAUCCCACUCCAUUGCUUUUUUUAUCUUAUUUGUAUAGUUUCUGAUUGUUAUAUUAUUUUUUUAGGCCUUUUAUAUUUUUUGUAUUUUGUUAAUUUUAUAUUAAAGUUUUAAAUCCCAUCAAGUUUGCCUGUUGCCUGUUCUU